UACGUAAAGUAAAAAAGCGAUUCGGUAUCACUGGGCUUAAAGCGUUCGUAGGCGGCUUGGUAGGUGAGAUGUGAAAGCCCACGGCUCAACCGUGGAAUUGCGUUUCAAACCCCCAAGCUCGAGGAAGAUAGGGGUAACGGGAACUUAUGGUGGAGCGGUGAAAUGCGUUGAUAUCAUAGGGAACACCGGUGGCGAAAGCGCGUUACUGGAUCUUUUCUGACGCUGAGGAACGAAAGCUAGGGUAGCGAACGGG
rnacentral:rRNA from 1 species